CAGAGUUCUAUCUGGGAAAUUUAGAUUUCGUUGGAAUUUCAAAAAACCAUCCGAAUCGAUAAUUCACUGUUAGAGACGAGAGACUAAUUUUUUCAAAUGAUCGUACUUAAUUCACUCAUCGUUGCCAAGCACAAGAAAAAGUGGAUAUAUAGAGGCGCGAGAACAGCAUGCUUUCGACAAUCGUCAACGAGAUACGUCGGUCCACGCAAUGACGUCAGAGGCUGGUCCAAUCCUGUCGAAUACGUCCGUGGCCCGAUCUCACCCUAUUGAGCGAGAGAGAAAGGAAGAUGCGGUGUAUAGGGAGGAAAGAGACAGAGAAAGAGAGUCGCAGAGGGACGCAAGAGCCAGCAAAUAAGAGCACAGUCCAACAAAUAGAAGGAGAAGACAGUUCGAGUUCCGCUCUCCUGCUCUUACGAGACGUGCACGCUGAUUCAAGCCUUGCGAUAUUGUUGCCAGAAUUGUUCGUUAUAAUUUACAAUGUUCAGAAUAUUCCUGAUGUGAUCGUUGAGACAAAUCCUGAUUUUCUAUGACAUAUGACGCGUUCGAGCACAAAUACCUAUCAGUAUUUUUCAUGCAAAAGAACGAAAGAGGUUAUGCGACAACGAUUGAGAAAAGAAAGUAUUGAAACAUCUACAUAUUUUCUAUUCUAUUCAAAUACUUAAACUAGAAUUUCAUUAAAUGUUAUAGCUUUAACAGACACGAUCGAUAACGUAAAAUAAUUUUAACUGUAUUUUAUAUUUUUACCGUUCACAAAUUACGAAAGAGAUUCAAUGCUAGCUUGAUGUUAGAGUUAGAAUUUAAAAUUUCCAGUAAAAAUCCCGUCUUUCGAACUUCAUUGCAUAUUUAUCGACUAGCAGUAAUAAAUGGACUUACAAAUUAGUUCUCUCUACAAAAUUGUUUAUUGCCACUGCGAACUAAAACGGUCAAUUACUAAAAGACAGAUACGUGCAUACUCAAACAGAAAACGAUACAAGUGUUUCAUUUGAAAAUUAAACGUGUGAAGUUAUUAGCAAUAAAUUAUAAUAGUAAAGUAAAAUUAUUAAUGCGCACCUCAUGUACACAUGAUAUUUCCAAAAGUGUUGUAUUAUUAUUGAAAUUAUUGAACUUAAUUGACAAAAUUAAAAAUUUAGUAUCCGUUUUUUUGGUAUUAUAGUAAUAUUGUG
rnacentral:misc_RNA from 1 species